rnacentral:ncRNA from 1 species
AUGGGAAGUCCGGGAUAAUAGGGAAAUGGGUGGAAAGCCCAUGCGGUCCCGCCGCUGUAAAGGAAGAGUUACCGGAUGCAGAAAGCUGUUAAAAUAGGAACAGGCUUUUGCGAAACGCCACUGCAUGAAUCUAUGUGGGAAGGAGCCGGUGAUGAGGAUGCCUGAGCCAGAAGACCUGCCUUUUUCG